rnacentral:rRNA from 1 species
UACGGAAGGCAGCAGUGGGGAAUAUUGGACAAUGGGCGCAAGCCUGAUCCAGCCAUGCCGCGUGAGUGAUGAAGGCCUUAGGGUUGUAAAGCUCUUUUGUCCGGGACGAUAAUGACGGUACCGGAAGAAUAAGCCCCGGCUAACUUCGUGCCAGCAGCCGCGGUAAUACGAAGGGGCUAGCGUUGCUCGGAAUCACUGGGCGUAAAGGGCGCGUAGGCGGCCGAUUAAGUCGGGGUGAAAGCCUGUGGCUCAACCACAGAAUUGCCUUCGAUACUGGUUGGCUUGAGACCGGAAGAGGACAGCGGAACUGCGAGUGUAGAGGUGAAAUUCGUAGAUAUUCGCAAGAACACCAGUGGCGAAGGCGGCUGUCUGGGUCCGGUUCUGACGCUGAGGGCGCGAAAGCGUGGGGAGCAAACAGGGAUUAGAUACC